rnacentral:rRNA from 2 species
ACCUGCUCGGUGAAUAUAUUUUAACAGCCGCGGUACUCUGACCGUGCAAAGGUAGCAUAAUCAUUUGCCUUAUAAUUGAAGGCUAGUAUGAAUGGUUUGACGAGAAUUAAGCUGUCUCUUUUUAACUAAAUAUAACUUUAUUAAGAGGUGAAGAAGCCUGUAUUUUAUUGAAAGACAAGAAGACCCUAUCGAGCUUUAAAGAAUUUAGUAGAUUUACCAUAUAUUAAUAAAAAAGUAAAGCAACUAAAUAUUUUGGUUGGGGCGACUGAGGAACAAACAAAGCUUCCUUUAUGCUAAUUAAAACUUACAAGUAUUGAUCCAAUUUAUUUGAUUAAAGAAAUUAGUUACCGUAGGGAUAACAGCAUAAUCUCCUUUGAGAGUUCUCAUCGAAAAGGGGGUUUGUGACCUCGAUGUUGGACCAGAAUACCCAGAAGAUGCAGCCGUCUUCAAUGGUUGGUCUGUUCGACCAUUAAAAUUCUACGUGAUCUGAGUUCAGACCGGCGUGAGCCAGGUCAGUUUCUAUCUUCAAUUUUUAUAGUGGCCUUAGU